CACGUAUUGAAAGCGUCAGGGGCAGCUGAUCUGUCGGUUGCAGGAGGCAGGACGCGUAUGUGCAAAAGGGGAUCUUAGGUGAAGUCCUAAUGCUGAGUGCCUGUUGAUUCAGUUGUCCAGGUCCUAGAAGAACUGAGUGUCUGCCAAGUAUACAGAAUGUGCACAGCAGUUCAAGCUGCUGCACUCCACCACUGUAUAUCAAUCUUCCUAUGCCCGGAUCCCCUCCUAAGGGG